rnacentral:rRNA from 1 species
UACGUAGGGAGCGAGCGUUGUCCGGAAUUACUGGGUGUAAAGGGAGCGUAGGCGGGGAUGCAAGUUGGGUGCCAAAACUACCGGCUCAACUGGUAGUCGCACUCAAAACUGCAGCUCUUGAGUGAAGUAGAGGCAGGCGGAAUUCCUAGUGUAGCGGUGAAAUGCGUAGAUAUUAGGAGGAACACCAGUGGCGAAGGCGGCCUGCUGGGCUUUUACUGACGCUGAGGCUCGAAAGUGUGGGGAGCAAACAGG